UCACUAAGAUUAGUCAAUACUGUGGCCCUGCUGAUAACUGCAGCAACAGCUCAACAACACCUGAAGUUUCAAUAGAGACUGGCCGUCUAAUUCUACAUAAUGUCACCUACAACAGAUGCUACAGUGCAAAAACCUUACAAGGACACAAAGAGGUAUUUUAUAAUGUUACUGUCAAAGAAUUACACUUUACCAUCAGCACAGAAAUGCCCAUCUUAAAAUUCACUACUGAAACACCCGACUAUACUUUAACCUCAGACAAUUUCUACAACAAUACAUCAUCCAAUGCAACCACCACACAUAUUGCUGCUGUUGUUGUUGCUGUGAUCUUGGUGCCCCUUGGUUUGUUCGUUAUCUGGUACAUAUAUGCACAGUAAGUAUUGUCACAAUAAUUCAACUGUUCUUAAUUUGACCUCUCAUUAAUAACUGUGUUCAGGUAAAGACUGUGUUAUUGCAUAUCAGAGCAAACAUUUUUCAGCAAUGUAAAUUCGAAGUCUAUUUUUAAAUCCAGGCAUAAAAGCAGUGCAUGGGCAAAGCACAACUUAAUUUGAAUUUAAAAGCCACACUUGCUAGUUUGUAGUUGGACAUUAUUAUUAUAUGGCUCAAAACGAAUUAUAGUAAUUCCUAAUUAAAUACUUUUUGUGCACUUUAAAGCCAGCAGAGGUACUUACCAGUGAACGCAAACGUUGCAGGGUGAUGCUGGCUAAAGUGUCUCAUGAAGAAAUCAUCAUGGGAAACCCAGCAGCAGCCAAUUCGCUUCUCACAACUGCGAACGAAACUCAACUCUAGAUGGCUGCUCCACCUCCAACUAGGCACUUUACUGAAGGAUCUCUACCUUGAAGGAUUGAAAUGAAGGUCAACAUGGGUCAAGAGACUAUUGAAGUAGUUCUGCCUUUUGGUUCAGACAGAUCUAUAAGACUGAACCUUUUUUGUUUACUUAAUGUAAAUUAUAGAUUUUAUACAGAUAUUAAAUAUAUA